rnacentral:sRNA from 1 species
UGCCGGAUGCCGCCGAGUCGCACACGCGAGCCGGGGACCCACCUGUACCACCGGGGUGAGUCCCGCUCCCGGACACCCGGGAGCGGGUAGGGCACUCCCAGCCCGAACCCGUCAGCUGACCUGGUAGGCGGCCAGGGGAGAACGG